UUUUGACCUCGGAUCAAGUAGGGAUACCCGCUGAAC
rnacentral:rRNA from 1 species